GGCUGUAAUGGAACUCUUUCUCCAGCUCCAGGCGCUGGUGGUCGGUGUAGACCACGCGGUACUUGUCUUUGGUCCGAGUCUUACCUGAGAAGCAGAAGGAGCCAGGAGGGAAGAUGAGAAAACUGAGAAUCAGAGAGAGCCACACUCCAGGCAGGUGGGAUUCAAACAGGCUUAUCCAGCCUCAGAAACAGCACCAGAACCUACACCGUGUAAGGUCUCCUGUAGUUAUCUCCAACCCUGAACCACACCAGGGAUCUCGGGAUGGGUGGACGGUGUCUAGCACAGCACCUACCUGGCGUGUGGCAGACGCACAGGGAGGGCAGAGCUUACUCAUUUCCAACAGUGAUGGGGUGACCAUCUGGCAGGAAUGCCAGGAAACGGAGCUGAUCUGUGCGAUGGGCGGUGUGUUGGAAGAGACCAUUUAUUUAUAAGGUCCCUUCCAACUGGGUAACACGAAGCUCUCAAUGUUUGUUGAUUCUCUGAUUGUGUUUGUUAUUGUAGCUGAAAGAAUUCUAACACUGAUUUCCCAGUCUGAGAGUCUAGACGCCGGGCCUGCCCAGCUGGAGGAUGGCGGCCAGGAGCCACUGCAGCCUGCAGCAGGGCCCCCGUCCAGCCUGGGCCAGGCAAAGACAGGGUGUGGCCUCUGCCCCACGAUGGGGGCCACCUUUGCACCAUCUGCUGCCCUAUCUGCUUCAUCGAGGUCUACAGUCUGACCUGGCUUUGGGAGGCAGAAAAGAUGAAGAAGGGACUUUAGAGUCAGAUGGACUCGAUGGUUCUAACCCAGCCCAACCACAUGGCAGCAGCAUGUCCCGGGCAGUAAACAGCAGCCCCAUCCUCCAGCCACGGGGGCCAAAUGAUGAGGUGGCACCUCUGAGUCCUGUCUCCCUCGCUCCGCACAUGCCCCGCAGCAGCUGGCCAGCUCACAUCCUUCCAUCUUCCAGCUCCACGGCGCCUGCAGCCUUACUCCAGGCCACUAAUCUAACGGGCAAGAAAUGUGCUGUUCUGGGGUCAGAAAUCCUGCUUUUGGAAAAAUGCUGAGCACAUGCU